rfam:Apaloderma vittatum contig41318, whole genome shotgun sequence.
GGCCAGUUAGCUCAGUCAGUUGAGCAUGGCGCUAACAAUGUCAAGGUCGCGGGUUCGAUUCCUGUUUGGUCC